ACUGAGAACGGUUCGAGUCGACUCAUAAGGUUACGUGGAGUCGAGUCGAGUCACUAUGGUUAAAGCGAGUCGAGUCGAACCGUUCUCAGACC
rnacentral:pre_miRNA from 1 species